rnacentral:rRNA from 1 species
CAGUAGCCACGGGAAUACGAAGGGUGCAAGCGUUACUCGGAAUUACUGGGCGUAAAGCGUGCGUAGGUGGCGUGUUAAGUCGAAUGUGAAAGCCCCGGGCUCAACCUGGGAAUGGCAUCCGAUACUGGCAGGCUAGAGUUCGAUAGAGGGUAGUGGAAUUCCAGGUGUAGCGGUGAAAUGCGUAGAGAUCUGGAGGAACAUCAGUGGCGAAGGCGGCUACCAGGAUCAGAACUGACACUGAGGCACGAAAGCGUGGGGAGCAAACAGGAUUAGAUACCCGUGUAGUCCCUGUCUCUUAUAC